rnacentral:misc_RNA from 1 species
GUUUGAAACUCUGAAGUUGCAAAUAUGAAAAAUCAGUUGUUGGAGGCUAACGUGUCAUUUUCAUUUGCGCCAACGCUGCAGAGGGUUUUUUGUUUAUUUGUGUGUUGUGGGGUUGUGGGGAGGAGGGGGAGAUUAGGAAGCGAGGUUAUGUUGUUACACGUUUGUGGAUUUUUUUGGUGCAUAAGAUUAUCAUACAAAUGAUUGUCAACCGUUGGAUGAUUUAGAUUCAUGUGGACCUAUGUGGCUUCAUCCAACGAUUGAACAGCAGGCCAUUGAAUUAUCUUUUUGAAGAAUUAAAAUAAAAAUUGAAGCAGGC